UAAAAAUAUUUACCCAUAUUUGGGUGAAAAAAAAUUAGUGUUCGCGUGUUUGUUUUCAUCGUUUUCAUAAAACUAAAGAAAACAUAAAACAUGUCCAGAUUGAAUUUAUUUCGGUCGUCUGGCUGAACAUUAUGACGGUACUGAGCAUGAGAAGUCACAAGAGGCUCGGACCAAGCUGAACCUCCCGGGAACCAAUGGAGUAUCUGCACCCGUUGCAUAAACAGCCGCGGAAACGGACACCUUCGACAACAUCGCAAAUAAAUCCUGCCGGAUCUCCAGCUGCGACCGCUCCGACAAUGAGACACCUGUCUAGAUGCUGCAUUCCAAACCUUUUGCGGUCUACUCUAGGAAUACGGGAAGAAGGUGGGCUAUUUUUUUUUGUUGCUUCAAGCCAGCGCGCAGUCGGGACCGCAGAUACAACUGCGUCGGUGAUGUAACCGCAGCCGGUGUGCUCCUCAGUGAAGUGGACAACUCACAAUGCCACCAUCAAACAGAACUUUAGCCCCCGGACCUUCAACACAGUGAAAUGCGAAUGUUAGCCUAUAAUCUUUGAAUCAGUAUCCUUGCACCGAUACCCUCCUAUCAGUAUUCAACCCCCGGACCCACCAAGUACCGUUGAGGAACUACCGACAACCGUGAUUAAACACACCCAUGUACAAGCAGCAAACCUGAGUAUCCGGAAGCACUCCUACCACGGUGUAAUUUCCGGCUCCUGCAGUGAGCGAACUUAUGUUGGUGCAGACCAACUAUUAUUGUAUUAUAUUUAUUUUGUUAAAAAUUAUAUUUUUUUGUUAUAAUAAAAUGACAGAUAUUAUGAUAAUUUUUAAAA